rnacentral:tRNA from 1 species
GGGAAUGUAGCUCAGUGGCACAGCACCUGCCUGGCAAGCAUGAGGCCCUGAGUUGGAUUCCCGGUACCA